UGAGGGGAGGCAGGCGACACACCUCUUCUUCAAAGUAGUCACAAAUGCUUCAGAAAGUAUCACUCUCUGAGUAAGUUCAGCCUCUAGGUUGCCAGAAUGAGAGGAAGAGAAGGAACUUGGUUUGAGAUCAUGUCACAUGGCUGAGAAUGUGCCAGUUUUUUGUAACCUUGCUGAUCAGAAAGUGAAAUAUUCAUGGUGUCCCACAUGGCUCCCUAUUUCCAGCAUUGCAGUGACUCAUUUCAAGGCUGCCACUCUGUCAUGCUUCAGAGCCAUGCUGAUGACGGACAUUUUGUUCUCUAUGCAUAGCCUCCUUCAACAAUAGGGAGAUUUCAUCUUACGACUGUCAGGAGAAUGUAUUCGUGCCAUGCAUGCUUCUUGGGGGAUAUUUAUUAGACUAGAUUAAUCUUAUAAUGUUCAACAGAGUUUCAGCUGAGGAAUAGGAUGUUCAGUAACAGAAAGGAAGGGGUAGAUCUGUCCCAGGAGAGACUUGGCAGGGUUGCUUGCACAGGUGAACACAGCCCAGGGUGGCUUCAGUGUUCCCAUUGUUCGGAGUAGGUGGUAUUGAAGGUCUACCUGUAAAAAGUGACUUUGAGAAGACUGCUUUGUUCUAUGUCCACUCUCUUUUUGACUCUGGGACCUAUGGAGCUCUGACAGUGUGACAUGAUCAUUUGAGUCAUGAAUACAGCAGGAUGGCAGAUAUGACUGAAGUGUUUUCCAGAAGCAAUUUUGAGUGCCGAAUGUGCUCCGACAAGAUCCAUGUCUGCCAGUGUUCCAGUGCUUUCUGUCUUCUUAACUUAGACAGAGGUCAUAAAGUUAUCAGCUGGCAGACUGUUGACCCUUCGUCAGCAGGAGCAAUGCUACCUACAGACCAAGAAGGAAACAUCUUUCAUAUUCUUUAUGCAAAUUAACAAUUUCUCCUUUUUUCUUUUCGUAAAGCUGAUUUACUAUUUUUUUUAAUUUGACAAGUUUAUGCUUAUAUGCAAUGUGAUAUUAUCAUUCUUCCAUUACUUUCUAUUGCUCUCCAUCUCAAAAACUGUUAACUUCCUAUGUCAACUUGAGGUAAGUCUCUCCAUAAACAGCUCAUUGGAAGUAAAAGUAAGAGGAACAUUUCUUGGCAAGCAUGCAAUAAAAACAGAGAUUACUUUCUUAUUUCAAAUCCCUGUAUGUACUGCUUAGUGGCACCAGUCUUUUAAAGCUCCACACUCCAAGAUGGGGAAGGAUUUGCAUGGGCCUCAUCCCUACUCUGCUUGUUAUUUGGACCACCCUUGGUUGUCCAUUAUUUCUAUCCUGUCACUUAUCUAUAUUCAUCACAUUCUAUUAAGAUCAUUUUUUUCUUAACCUAAAUGUCUGAUAUUUCCCCACUCUUUAAUUCUCAGGCUAUAAUUAUCAUCAGGUUAUAUUUCCCUAUGCUUACUUAUAAUAUUUCCAAAGCAUAAAAAACUGUAAAAUGCACAGCCUAUUUCUAUAAUCCUCAUGGUUGGUAGAGAUAUAUAGUACUCUUCUUGAGUAGGAUAAACUCUUAGGACCAAUUUUUUUCUUCAAAUGACAUUUAGCUUUCUACUGUAUUUUUUUUUGUUUGUUUGUUUGUUUGUGUUUUUACUCAUAGUUCUUUGUAUAUUCAAAUAUAAAAUGUGAUGCACUUUUUAUUGUUCUAGAAAAAGAAGCAAUCAUGGUGAGAACACAGGGGAGAGGAAAACAUCUCAUAGCAAGACAAGAAGUCAGAGAGAUUCAAGGGUUAACCAACAUUGUUCUUGUAAGAAGGGCUCACAACCCAGUGACUGUCUGGAGUCACUUGGAAUAGAUGUUAAUCUUUUCAUAGGGUAAUAUCGGUAAUGACCUAGCCACUUGGUCACCAAGCCUACCUCUUGAAGUUGUGUCACCUCAACACUGCCUCAUUGGGAUCCAAAUCUCAGAUUGUGACUUUGACAACAUCACCAUGCCUUGUUGGACAAACAUACCCACAGCCAAGACCUCCCUAUUCUGCUUUAAUUCCUCUUAACUGAGGGUUUUUCAGGGAACUGUUUCCUUCUGAAAAUCUCCCUCCUCUGUGUAGACAUAGUUUAAAGUCUGAAUAAGGUUGCAUUCCCUCAGGAAACCUAUGUAAAAGAUGGAAGCAUGCUUGUAUGUUCUGUACCGAUUCACCAUACACUGAACUUUAGCACAAUUGCCUUAGAAA
rnacentral:lncRNA from 1 species